GUGCUCACUUUGGCAGCACAUUUACUAAAACUGGAACAAUACAGAGAAGAUUAAUAUGGCCCCUAUGCAAGUAUGACAUGUAAAUUCAUGAAGGUUCCAUAUUUAA